ensembl:lncRNA
GAAUAGGAGUGUGCAACCUUUGGUCCAUGUGGAAGGGGUGCCCUGGGCAGAGGCAGAACUCCAGAAAACAGUGUAUGGAAAACUGCCUGCUCUGAGCAGGAGGCUGAGGAAGAGAAGAGGCCAACAGAAUGAGACAGGAGAGCCCAGUACUUCCCAAAAGAUUUGAAGUGGCUCAAAAAAUACCACACAAGGAAAGAAAAUAUUCCAUCAUGUGCCUUUCGGGACAGAGAAGCUUUUCAAAGAAAAUUCUCAUCUGCAACAGAUUUUACUAGGCUCUUUUCCAAACCAGCCCUCUAAAUCAGUUUUAAUACUUUUUAGUGAAGAGAGAUUCAACAAUAACUACCUUUAUUCACCUACAGAAGCAUAUUUUAGAAACAUCCUAGCAAGUGCUUAAAAACAAUAAUCGUUUUAUGCCCCAUAUGGUCUUCACAGAGCCCAUUACCAGGUGCUCCAGAAAGAGCAAAAACACCAAAAUGUUCCUAAAUAUACAACUUCAGCUUGCUCACUUCUUCUGGGAACUUCUUCGGGGCCCCAAUGGCUGUCUAUCUUGUAGCCUGUAAAAUGAAGCAGGUGUUCACCUAACCAGCUCUAGUUAUAGAGCUCUUGUCCAGCAAUUACCUCAAUGCACGUGAAAUUUGGAUUUUUAGAAAUCACACUUCCAACUCUGUUACAUAAAAUAUCUUGGCACAAGGUUCAGUUUUGCCUCUUUUUGUGGUCUGAUAUAUGCCCAUGCUCGACUACAAUCUAAAGCUAACAUAACUCUGUAGUGAGACUAAAUGCCAUUUCUUCAGAGUGUGAGAAGAAAAGACAUUUUCAUCUCCUGCUUCAGAAGAAAACCUAUCAAGUGCUAAGUGCAUGAACGAACAAUGAAAGCACAAUCUUGUGAGUGUUUUCUGAUAGUUAAUUGGUUGGCUGAAAAAAAUAAAUGAAAAGUGUCUAGUGAAUACCUCAAGCUCAAUUAGGAAAAUUUUCUGAAAGUGCUUAUUCCAAUAGACUUCCUAAAGAAAGUAUUUUUUUUUUGCUCAAAUGAAGGAGACAGCUGUGUGAAGUUUUUUUCUUGGUACUGGGGAUUGAACUCAGGGCCUUUGCACGGAGCUACAACCCCACACACUUUUUUAGUUUUUAUUUUCAAAUAUGGCCUCACUAAUUUGCUGAGGCUGGGCUUGAACUUGUGAUUCUCCUGCUUCACCCCCCAAGAGUGCUGGGAUUAUAGGUGUGUACCCCCACACCGAGCUUGUUAAUUUUAUAUUUCUAUACUUCCUGCCAUGACCAAGAUAUGGCAGGUGUUCAGUAACAGUUGAACUAAAUCAACUGUUGAAAAUUGGUGAAGUAUAUGCAAAGGAAAUUAAAUCAUCUCAUCAAAAAGGUAUAUGCAUUCUUAUGCUUACUGCAGCAGUGUGCAUCAUAGUCAAAAUGUGAAAUCAACCAAGAUAUCUGUUAACAGAUGGGUAAAGAAUGGAUAAAGAAAAUGUGGUAUUCAUACACAAAUGGAAUAUUAUUCAACCAUAACAAGGAAUGAAAUCUUGUCAUUUGCAGCAAAAUGGAUGGACUUGGGUGACAUGAUAGUAAAUAAAAUAAGACAGAUACAGAAAGACAAAUACUACAAGUUCACAUUUAAAAGGUAAUUUGAAAAUAGAAUGGAAAUUACUGGAGGCUGGGGAAGACAUGGAGAGGUGGGUAGAAGGAGUUUGGAUAACAAGAACCCAAACACAGUUAGGUAGAAGGACAACUCUAGUGUUCUGCAGCAUAGUAGGUUGACUAUAGUUCACAGAAACCAAAAAUAUAUUUUAAGAAGAACUAGGAGAAAUGGCAGCCCAAAGUCUUCCAACGUAAUGAAAUGAUAAGGUGGUGGAAAUCCAAGUAUCCUGAUUUGAUCAGUAUACAUGAUCAGUAUACAUGAUUUGAUACUGUAUACAUGUACUGAAAUAACCUACUGUACCUUAUAAAUAUGUACAAUUAUUACCUGUUGAUUAACAGAAAAAAAUUAAAUUAAAAAAAAAGAAUUAGCAGAAAUCUAAUUUUGUACACUUUGCCUGAAAAGCAAGAACAUGGUCUCUGGAGCCAAGCAUGCCUCAGUUCAAAAUCUGUCUCUACUGUUUACCUGCCCUAAGCCGGGGCAGUGUAACCACAGUUCAUCUGCUGGUCCUCGUAGAACACCACAGAUAGCACAGGCUGGUGACUCAGCACAGUGGAAAGGAGGCUGUGAUUAUGAGGCCCUCAAAUGAAACCUUGACCAUCAUCAUCAUUGGAAAAUGAGUUUUCACCUAGGAAUCCCACUCAAUUCCUCUCUGCGAUUCUGUUAGUUCAUGUUUAUUUCUAAAAACUUCAUUCAAUUUCAUGCUUUAGGUAAAGUAGGGAACCUACCAGUUUUUUUCUGAUGUUGGAUGAAUCCUGAAGUAGUUGUUUUUUUCUAAAUAUCGGGUGGAAUUACUGGGUAUAUGCUAAUAUAAAAAUAUAAGAAACUGGCUAAAUGGAUAUUGGACCCAACACAUUCUGAGAAAUAUUUUAUUGCUGAUUUUUCAAAAGCCAUGAUAUAAAUUUGUUUCCUUAGGAGUACCUGACUUCUUUCUCCUAAAAAACUGCAGAAAAUGUUUAAAUAGGUCAUCCUAUUGGUUAAUGUGGUAACCAUAGUCAACACACCUGCCUGACACACAGCACUUGGGAAUGUGGCACUGGAAACCAGGCUUCCACCUGCCCAGGUGUCUAAGAAGAAACAGAGAAGGUGGGUGGCACAGGCAUCAGCCACCGCCACAAAUCACUGGGCAAUCCCCAAAGACAUGAACUGUGGAGAGGACUGUCAUCACACACUGGCCUUCUCAGUGACAGCACACUCGGGUGCACACAGGGCGCUUUGUGGGCCAUCCAGGGAGCAUCCUUGAAUCACCAAGGACAGAAUGCUGGCAGAGGGAGUCAGCAAGCAACUACUGCAUCCAUGAGCUGGGCUGGGAGGAUGAAAGGCUCAGCGGCAGCUGAGAGGGAAAAGGUCCUGCUGCAGAGCCCUCAGGAAAGCUUCACCACCUUGUCACUUUCAGAAAGCUCUGCCAAUGCUAGUGAGGAAUGUGUGCUCGCCCCAGAGUCCCUCACUACUUGACAUAGAGUUGCUGAUUUCACUGUCAUCAGAGACCUGAUGAACUACAACACCCAAUCUUGCUCAGCAUCAACAAGAACAACGGACAUCCUGGGAGGCCUGGGAGGCUGGAUUUCUGAUGGGGGAAUCUAAAAUACUUCUUGUACCAUGGAACAUUAGUGAUGUUUUGAAAUCAAAGAAUGAAGACAUUUCUCCAGCUCAGAGUAUUAAGGAUGCUUCUUGUGAUUUGGAAUGAGCAGGCCUGAUGACUUCUGGGCUCUUCCCUCCUAGCUUCAUUACAAUUCCCUGGAAAAGACCUGGCCUAGGGCCCUGUGUGUCUUUGCUCCAGCAGCCCAACACUAGGAAGCAGAGCUUUAAGACAUGGGACUACAGGAAAGCUCUGGAAACCCAGGAGAACCUUCUGUCUCCACUGAGAAAGGCCCCGAAGAAAGCCCAGCUUCCUGGCCACACCUCACUUGGUGCUGGAGUCACCAAAGUCUCUCUUCCUGCCCCACGGUGCCUUCCCUGACACCAGGCUGUCUCCACACCUAUGACCCCCAGGCCUGCCUGUCAUCAUGUGAGCUGGGGAAAGCCACGUUGCCACCCAUUUUUUUGGAUUGUUUCCUAAUGUUCAUGAUUCCUGGCCACUGAGAAGUGCUUCUGGGGACUGGACUUGCAGAGGGGCAGAAGAGGGAGGAGAGGAAAGUGAUAUGGAGAUUGCUGACAGAGUGGAAAGGCAGUGGGAGUUCACCUUCCUUCCCUCCGCUCUCCAGGCCCCGGCACCAGGGUCAGCAGUUCAUGCAGAAGAUAUCAGGAUUCUUUGGAGCAAUUUAUGCUCCCAAAUCCGCACUGACAGCCCAGGCCAAAUUGCCUUCCUAUGUGAAGGUCAUUUGCUCUGUCAAGCACUUGACAAUUGCUCAAAGGGAAAUGAGGGAAUUGUUUUGUAUAAAUGAGUCAACUUCUCUUGAAUUCACACCACUUGCGAUGGACCAUGCCAUGACAGUCAGGGACAAGAUUAUUGCUGAGCUUUCAGUCUUACAAAGGUGAGAAAGAAACCAGACAACAGCUCAAUGGCUGCAUAUUUGGACCUAAAGCUGUGUGAAUCUGCUCUGGAAGGCACUACAUCCUGCACUGCAGCUGCAAUUGGAGCAGGGAGACAGCGGGUGUGGUGAAAGGUGCGUCUGGAAAUGCAGAACUCCUGAGGAUGUGGAGCAUGUGGCCUCACAAAAGCAGAACUUCCUGCAUCACGGUCUCUUUCCAAGGUUUAGCAAUUACGAAUUGUGCUGCUAUAAACACAGGUCUCUUAAAGUUUCUGGCUGAAAACCAAAGGACUUAAAGGAAAAAUGGCUGUGUGAAAGCUAAUGGCAAGCAGCAGAUUCCGGUCCAACUCUCCUCCUGACAAUUGCCGACGGCCUUUCAAGGGAUCGUCUCCCACUAGGUCCCCAUGAGGCACUUGAGAUGCUCUGACACCAGGUGAAGGACUUGUUCCCCUGCUACUGCAGUGCAGCCUGCAGAGCCCCAGCUCUUGGCUACCAGAGGCCUCCCCUCCUUCCUGGAGAAGGCAGCAGCCAGUGGCUCACUGAUAUGGAAGACUAAGGGCUAGAUCACUUCACCACCUCUGGGACAACACAGAGAAUGAGUCAAGGACCAUGGAGGCUACAUUGCAGCUCCAUGCCACUUCCUCCUUCCUCUCCUUUCCUUCUCUUCCUAUCCAUCCCCAGGUGAUGACCACAAUGCUCCAUCCAGAGGCAAGAACAACUGGACCAGAGUGAGCUGACUGGAGAUGAGGGGGUUUGGGUUCAAACCCUGAUGAAUUCAGCUCAACCAGUGAAUUACCAUUUGUAUGCCAUUUAUAAUAUACGCCAUUUAUACUGGGUUCUACUGACACUAUACCCUAAAGCGGUAAGCGAUAUUUGCUCCUUAUUUUACAAAGACUUCAACAAGAGACAAAAGAUGACUCAAACUCAGAUAAAAGUAGUCAAAAGUCUAAAGGUACCAUUGUAAGAUCAAACAUAUCCUCAUAUCCUCAGAAAAGCAGGGCAAGGCUGACCCGAAGUCAAGAUGUGGGGAUUUUAUCUGAGUCACUUAACCCAGUUAGUCAUUAACUGAGUUUGCCAAAUGAGCCUAAACUAUCUCCCUAAUAGAAACAAUAGGAAUCACAUGUUAGACUUGAGCAAAUGUGGUUGUUUGAACUCCAACUGGACUUUUCCUGAAUCUUUGAAGACUCCUAAUCAUAUUUGGCCAGGGAGGCAUACAUAAUUGUCUUUUUUUGUACUGGGGAUCGAACUCAGGACCUUGCGCUUGUGAGGCAGGUGGCAGCACCACUGAGCUAAAUCCUCAGCUCCGUAAUUUUUUAUAACAGUACUUCAUAUGUUUAGCUAUGUCACUAAAGUUCACAUCAAGAACAGACACCUUGGCUGGAUUUUUCAACCUGGCCUGUGAAAGCCUGCAGCACCCACCCCUGCCAGAUAUUGGUGCAUUCACAGUGUUUAGAAAGCCCCAGGAAUGAAGGUGCAUCCAGCUCACUUUUCACAUCAAGGGACACAUACACACGCACGCACGCGCACAACAUCCACAGGUCAAAAGGAACCAGGAAAAGGGAAAAAAAACACUUUAUUCACAAAAUGUAUUUUUAAACAUCAUUUUUCCUGUGCAGCUGUCUGGCCUGAUUCCAUCAUGAAAAGCAAAUGUUUAAAACAGUAUACUAAUUAAAAAUAAAUUAUUUUAAAAAUUGACCUCUGGAUCAAAAUGUGUUAGUAUUAGAAAGGAUCUUAAAAUUCAUUUUAUAAAACAUUUUGUGUAUGUAGAUAAAGAAAUGGCACUAGAUAGGUGCAUUGCUGGUUAGGGUUGAACCUUGGCUUUGCUGACACAAGGACUCUGCUAUAAUCGCAGUUAUGACAUUCUGUGACAAUUACCUCACUUGAGAAUUCCCAGGCUCUUCCUUAAGUAGAAAAGAUGUUAUCUCCUCCAGGUAAUGCCAAAAAUAUUAGGUGCCUUGCUUGACAUUUCACAGCUAAUAAGCUCACGUUAUUGCUUAAAAUUUUUCAAUGGUUCUUACAUUUUGAGAUCAAAGGCUUCCUGGCCCCACCUUCUCACAGGCUCCGCCUUCUCCCUGGCUCCACCUCCUGAAGGCUCCACCUCCUCCUGGUCUCUCGGUGUCUGAGGUGAAAUGUCUUCUCCCCGGGAAGCUGCCGGGCAGGGCAGGAGUCCCAGCACUACUGGUAACUAUGCAAAAUGAGCCCUGUGAACCCCUGACAUUAGGUUGCUUCUAUGAAAUGCAAAGCCUGUGCUAAUCCACUUCUAGGACUGCAUCUGAAGAUCUGGUUUGGGCUCAUGAUAGGCACAGAGGUAAGGGAACUGCAUGAUUCUGACAGGACUCACAUGCCAGGACUCCAAUAAAGGAAAGUUCCUGACCUUGAAUGAGCUGAGCAUUAGCAAGUGUCUCAUGGGUGCAGCUGAAAUACGUUACACUAUGGAACCCUUCAUUAAGGGUCAGGUUCCAGAGGUGUAUGUCUGUGGCAUCUUCUCAAAUACUUCAUGUGAGUAGGUGGCUCAGCCCCCAUAUUGUGAGCUCUGAAGCACUUUCUGCUCAAACCUGUGGCCUCAAGGUUGGUCCCUGAAUCCCACUAGGUGACAGCUAGGAAGAUUUUAAAUGGAGAAGAGGAGCAAAACGCUAAAACACAAGUUUUAUUUUUAAUUUUUUUUUUUAAGACAGGGUCUCACUACAUAGUUCAGGCUAGCCUUGAACUCACUAUGUAGCCCAGGCUAGUCUCGAACUCACAGCGAUCCUCCUGCCUCAGUCUCCAGAGUGCUAGAAUUAUAGGCGUGCACCACCCUGCUCUGCUUCAAGUUUUGUUUCUAAGAAAUUGUUACCAGCUGAUUAAAAUAUAUAUAAAGCGUUCACAGUGCCUUUGGAUCUGAUCUGUGUUUUUAUUCCUCCAGAUUAUUUCACAUUAUGAAAAUGUUCUUUUCAGAAUAUUCUUAGACUAUUUCCAAUAAGUAAAAAUAAACUAGAAAAAAAAAAAGCUAGGGAUGUGCCAGUCUGUGGGCCCUUGUAAGCUCACAAUUUCAUUGGUAAUCAUUUUUUCAUAACUCUGUAGUUAUUCCCCAAGGACGUACACUCGGUUCUACUGCCAACUUCUUUUGAUGACCAUAACAGGAUCUUCCUAUGAAGACCCAGUGCUGUAUCCUGACUGCCCCCGCUGUCUCAGCCAGGCCAGCAGGAAGGAUCAUGAGCAGAGCAGAUGUUCUUGCUCUUCCUGGCUGCAGAUUGAAGUCCCUCCCUGCGGAUGAGAUGUUCCAACACUUUGACACCAGUAUCACCUUCCAGACUUCAUCAGACAAGACAAGAUAUUUGUUUGAGACAUGACUCCCAUGUCUUGCCUUAAGCAUACAAAUCAAAUGUGCAAGUUUAGUGAGCACAUAGACCAAUGUGUAAAAUGUACAGUUAAGAAAAUGAUAUUGGACAGGAAAUACUACGUCCUUUUCCUUGUGACUAUCCAACCUUCCAAGAGGAUUUUGUAAAAGGAAAAUAUAAGAUUUUAGGAAGAAAUCUUCAUAUUUUAGAGAAGGAAACCAAACUGGGGAAUUUUGGAUGAUACAUAGUAUUUCUCAAUAAGAACUAUAAAAUGUGACACCUCAAAGUUGUGGUAAGACCCUUACUAAAAUAUGUGGUCUACAUAGCUCUUCUAUGUGAUUCAACCAGUGCUUCACAGAAUUUAACAUGCUCAUGGGUCAUCUGGGAAUUUUGUUAAAAUGUAGUUUCUAACUCAGGAGGUCAGAGGUGGGACCUGUGAUACUGCAUUUCUGACAAGCUCCAUAGACUGCAGAUACUACUGGUCUGUAGGACAAGGAUUUAUACCAUUUUUAAAAGCAAUGUUUUUUUCUGAAUGUGGCUGCUGGAUCACUUGCACAAAACCCCCCUGUGGGUUUAUUCUGUUGUAAAGCAGAGUCCUGGGCUGUGGAUGUGGCUCAGUGGUAGAGCGGUUGCCUAGCAUGUUCAAGAGCCUGGGUUUCAUCUCCAGCACCACAAAAACAAAACAAAACAAAGCAAAACAAAACAAAACAACAGCCCUGUACUUCAUCACUGACUCACUAAACCCAGUGUCUACAGCAAAAAUCCAGGAAUCUGUAUUACCAAUACUUCUUGGAUGAUUCUGAUUUUUUAACUGACAGAUGACAAAUGUACAUAUUUAUGGUGUACAGCAUGACAAUUCAAUACAUGUACACAAGGUAUAACAAUCAAAUCAGGUUCAUUAGUAUUUCUCCUAAACAUUUACCUCUUCUAUUGGGGCACUUCAAACUCCUCUUUCCUAGUUCUUCAUAAAAUAUGUAAUAAAUUAUAAAUUAUAGUCACGCUACUGUGCUUAGAACACUAGAAUUAUUCUAUCUGUGUUGUGGUACUGGUUAUCCCUUUUAUAUCUAUACUUCCUACCCUCUAGUGACCACUAUUCUAUUCUCUACUUUUAUGAAAUCAACUUCCUUAGCUUCCUCAUGUUAAGUGAGAAAAUGCGGUAUUUGUCUUUCUGUUUCUGGAUUAUUUCAUUUAGUAUUAUGUCUUCCGGUUCCAUGUGUGUUGCCACAAAAAGAAUUUCAUUCUUUUUUAUUGCUGAAUAAUAUAUCACUGUAUAUAAAACCAGUUUCUUUAUCCAUUCCUCUGUCUGUGGGAACCUUGAUUGAUUUCAUACCUUGGCUCUUGUGAGUAAUGGAGCAAUAAACAAGGGAGUGCAGGUAUCUCUUUGAUAUACUGACCUCAUUUCCCUUGGAUACAUAUCCAAUAGUGGGAUUCUGGAUCAUAAGGCAGUUCUAAGCUUAAUUUUUGAAGCCCAAAUAACUCUUAUUAAUGCUAAAGCUUGGGAAUUGACACUGGAUAAGUGACUGACUAUUUUGAGAUGAGUAGGAAACUUGUAUCGGUGUGAUGAGAUUGUGACACAUGAUAGAGAAGGUCUGGGAGGGGAUAAAUAGGUUCUUGGGUGACUACAGCAAAGGAAACUGCCAAGCAGCUAAUCAGGUGAGGCAUCAACAGGCUGACAAGUGUGAGCACAUCAGGGACUGCAGUUGAGUUCUAUUCUAUUUUUCUCUUUUAGAGGUUACCUUCUCUAUCCCUAUACUCAUAAACCAAUUCUUACUUUUCUACCAUCGGAAUAAAAUAAGUGUAUCCAGCCACAUUAAGCUUCACACUUGUCCAUACUUUUUUGGGGGGGUACUGGGGAUCGAACUUGGGUCCUCGUGCUUGUGAGGCAGGCGGCAGAACCACUGAGCUAAAUCCCCGGCCCUUGUCCAUACUUCUGUAGUACACAGAGGCCUUAGGAGCAGAAAAGGGAAAAAGAGAUAAAAAUGAAUGAAUCCCUUGUGUACAUUCCAAACUU